CUGGCAGCAGAGGACCUGGCCCCUCCAUCACCUGCACCGAGAUCGAGUCACUGGGACGUUGCUGGCUUCGUGGUGGUGGUAACUAGUCUUGCUGUAUCUCUUCCGUUUUCUUGCUUAGGUCUGCCUCUUUUUCCUUCCUUCUUCCCUCUGUCCUGUCGCUAUUAUCAGUUGUUAUAGGAAACAAAACCUGUAAGGCUGUACGGCA